UCCCUGAUGGUCCAGUAAUUAGGACUCUGCACUCUCAAUGCAGGGGGCACAGAUUCAAUCCCUGGUUGGGGAU
rnacentral:tRNA from 1 species